AAUGUUUAUAAACUAUUCAACUAGCUAACGUUAGCUAGCUAUAAUGACUAAAUACGCGGUACCAUAUGUAGCUAGAAAGUCUUACACCGUUUAUUACAAUGUGAUACAUUUGCAAUGGUUUGGGGAAAUGUUGAACGAAGUUAGGUCAUGCAAAGGACUUUAUCUAAUUUCCUUCGUAGCUAGCAAGCUAACGUUAGCUACCGUCGUUAGCAAACUAUGUUAGCGCCCUAAUUGCAGAAAUGUUAACAAACACCAUCAACUGGCUACAUAGCAAUACAAUGCGUGUACAGGUUUUUAAUACAAUUACAUCGCUUGUCUAACUAGCUAGUUAUCGCAUUGAAGAAGCGCUGUAGUAGCUAGCUAGAUAACAAAGUUGGCACAUUCUAAUCUGAAUUCUGCAGAUAACGUUACAGUAUUUCUGCAGAGAAGAGUGAAUCCACAUCAAGACCAUGUCUCAGUUCUCAGCUGAGGCUGAGGCUGAACUUCAGUCUCUGUUGAGGCAACUUCUAAAAAGCAUCAAAGACAGAAUCUCUGGUGCACCAUCCAUUGAAUGUGCAGAGGAAAUCUUGCUUCAUCUGGAGGAGACAGACAAGAACUUCCAUAAUUAUGAAUUUGUUAAGUACCUGAGGCAGUAUGUGGAAAGCUCUCUGGGAGCAGUCAUCGAGGAGGAGACAGAGAGCUGUGCCCGAGGAGAGGGAUAUGCUGUUGGGUCUGUUCAGGACACCUUGGUCCAUGCUGUUACAAGGAAGACUAGAGAAUCUGGAGAAUACAAGCAAAUGAUGCAGACAUUGAAGAACACGAUGAUGGUAGUCGUUGAAUCCUUGAUUAAUAAAUUUGAAGAGGACCAACUGAGAAAGGAGGAGAUGCACAGGGAGAGCCAACAUCAGCAGUCAAACAGCCAUUACACAGACAACUGCUCUGACAGUGAUUCAUCCUUCAAUCAGAGUUAUGCAUUUAUCAAACAAGAACAGCUGCAAGUUCUAGCUGAAAAGCUUGACCCUAGUAGGCCUAAAGAGGUGCGCUGGGAGGCCCUGCAGGCUUUGUGCUGUGCCCCGCCCUCGGAUGUGCUAAGCUGUGAGAGUUGGAGUGGCCUGCGCAGGAACCUCUCUGCUGCCUUGGCUGACCCAGACCCUGACCUCAGUGAUAAGGUCCUGCGCUUUUUUGCAAAAACAUUCUCCUGUUCGCCACUGAAUGUAACAAGGGAGAUCUACACCAGUUUAGCCAAAAGUCUGGAGUCUGACUUCCUGUACCAUAAAUUGAGCCUCCCUACUGGAUCAGCAGGGAUUGAUGUAAACAGACAGGACAUUACCCGUCUCCUAAAACAAAUGCGAUUAAUGAAUGAUUUUCAGAAGGAAGUAACAACCUUUUGGAUUCGGCACCCAGAGAAGUACAUGGAGGAGAUAAUAGAGAGUACUUUCUCCCUCCUGUCCAUAAACCCUGAACACGGGUUAGAGACACAAGGGUCAGAGAAAGCCUUGAAGCCCAUGCACCUCAUUGCCUUACUGGAUAUCAAAGCCACCUGGUUUAAGAAGUGGAUGCAUGGUUACUACAGCAGGACCGUGGUCUUUAGGCUCCUGGAGAGGAAGUACAAGUCUCUGAUUGUGGCAGCUCUUCAGCAGUGCAUUCAUUAUUAUGACUCCUGUGACCCAGUCAGAGAUGAGACGGCUGAGGUCAUCCACUCUAUGGAGCACCAGCACAUCGGCACUGCUCAAAGGACUCUCUACACUACCAAGGAGCUGGAAUAUAUGUAUUUCGUUCACUCAUUAUGUGUGCUUGGAAGGCUUCUCAUGUACACUAAUGGGAGAAAGCUCUUUCCCGUCACAGUGUGGAAACGCAAAGAUCCAGUCAGUCUGACAGACUUGGUUGUCAUUCUGAUUAGCAUCAUGUACCAACACCCCAAGCCUCCUCACAGUGACUCAUCACAUGCAGACACUCUCUCUCCCACCACUCUUGUAAUGGAGUUGCUGAGGACCCUGGGUGACCGCACAGAGUGUGCAGUGGAGUGCCUUUACCAAACCCCUGUCAUAGAGACAUUGCUGGCACCCAUCAUCACCCUGCUCAAAGGAAAACAGGCUAAAUUAAACUCCCCAGAAACUACAUUGAUUCAUAUAGCAGACACUCUCGCAAGAAUUGCCACCACUGAGCGAGGAUUAUCACUUUUCUUAUAUGAAAGAAAUCUAGUUUCUGGUGAGGGGGAAGGUAUUUCAGCUGCCCAUGUAAUCGUUCAGUUCACCCAGAGGCUCCUGGCUAAAGAGCUGCCAUUGUUACGGAAUGCAGAGACAUCCUAUGGCGUGAGCGGGGCCUUCAUCUUCGUGUGUCGGCAGAUGUACAACACAUGUGAAGGACUGCAGGUGCUCAGGCCCUAUGGCCUGCAUGAGUGCAUCGCUGCAGCUUGGAAAAAGACAAGCUCCCUGUCAGAAAGAGUUCCCACCCCGGUUCCCGGAGCAAUCCCCGGCACGUCCUCUCAGGAGCUGCAGAAUGUAGUGGUUUGGGAGGAGACUUUGCUGGACAACCUGCUGAACUUCGCUGCCACACCGAAAGGCCUGCUGCUCCUCCAGCAGACUGGAGCCAUCAAUGAGUGUGUCACCUACAUGUUCUCCAGGUUUACCAAGAAACUACAGGUCAGCCGAUGUGAGAAGUUUGGCUACGGUGUGAUGGUAACACAGGUAGCAGCAACAGCCCCCGGUGUGGUGGCUUUACACAGUUCUGGUUUUGUGCAGGCCUUAGUGGUGGAGAUAUGGUCGGUCCUGGAGUGUGGGAGAGAGGAUGUGAGGGUCGUUCACCCCAAGUCCACCCCCAUGGACCCCAUUGACAGGAGCUGUCUGAAGUCGUUCCUGUCCUUGGUCAACCUGCUGUCCUCCUCCCAUGCUGUGUGGGAGCUCCUGGGACAGCAGCCUCUGCCCAACAAGGCUGAGUACAACCUAAGGGAGAUGCCCACAUCCAUUACAGAUUUGAUUGAUAGGCUGAUUGCUGUGAACUCAGAUGUGAAAAUUCAUUCACUGUUCAACUACGAGCAAUCUCACACGUUUGGCCUGAGAUUACUUAGUGUGAUGUGCUGCAACCUAGACUCCCUCCUUCUUCUGGAGUCACAGUACAACAUUUCCGACAUGUUGCUGCAAUGUCAGAAGGACAACAUCACCGAUCCAUCGUCCGGUGAAGGAGAUUUCAUCAUUGAUGGUCUAUCUGUGGAGAGGAACCACAUCCUGGUGCGUAUGAGUGUGAUUGGAGGACCAUCGGAGAGGAGACUUCCCCUUAGGGUCCUCCAGAAGGGCACUGACCCUUAUCCAUGGCCGAUGUUUUCAUCAUACCCCCUGCCCAAGUAUUAUAUACUGAACCUUCCAAAGACUACCCGGGGUAAACAGGACUGUGAGAUAAGUGCCUUCCUGUCCUCCACCAAGAACACGGAGAGGGAUGGGAGCUGGAUGGAUACCUGUAGGAGACAGUACUGCAAAGUCAUGACCACCAAGUCCAACAUUGUCUCAGGGAACGUCCUGGCUGAUCUACUGGAGAAGGCUGUGUCGUACCUUUCUGCUUUGCCAUCAGAACGUUUCUUCCCACCUGCGGACUACAUAGGUCAGUGUGGCAUACGUCGGGGAGCGGCAUAAAGACUGGCAGCCUGUCGUCUGUGGACCAGCUGGGGAUUCGGGCCUCUCUCAGGUAUGGGAGACAUCUGAACUUACUGAGGGAUAACUCUGAGCAGGACCUCUGUCUUUUGAUGAAGCAUUGCCAAGAGCUCCUAUCUCAACAGAGAGCCAAACUCACGUCGGAGCUUUACACUCUGCAGGGAGCCUACCCCGGUCAUGACUGGUUCGCCUCCACCGUGUUCCUCAUCAUGGCUGGAGACAUGGAGAGAGCACUCCGCCUCCUCCUCCACCUCUCCACCCUGCUCACAUCAGCCUUCCUCUGGCCCGCCAGGCUCCACGGAUCGGUUCACCUGCCCAUGGAGAUUGCUCAGUCUAGCAUCCAUCCGGUCUACUCAUGCACAGCACACUAUGUCGAGAUGCUGCUGAAGACUGAAGUGCCUCUAGUUUUCUCUGCCUUCAGGAUGUCCGGUUUUACCCCCUCCCAGAUGUGUGUGCAGUGGCUAGGCCAGUGUUUCUGGAACUACCUGGACUGGUCUGAGAUCUGCCACUACGUGUCCACCUGUGUGGUGAUGGGGCCGGACUACCAGGUGUACAUGUGUGUGGCUGUGCUGAAACACCUGCAGCAGGACAUCCUGCAGCACACACAGACCCAGGACCUGCAGGUCUUCCUCAAGGAGGAACCCAUCCAAGGCUUCAGAGUGAGUAAUUACCUUGAGUACAUGGAGGGUCUGGAGUGCAGUUACAGAACAAUGGUACUGACAGACAUGAACAAUAUCUCCCAGAGAGUCAGCCAGCAGUGAUAAGACACACAAUAGUCUCCACUCACCAGGCUGCACUGGGACUGGUUAUAACAAGGUAAAGGAUUCUCAAGACGGGUUUAACAUUCAAUAUUGCGUAUGCUCUCUGUAAAUGUUUUUAUUUUUUAACCUGUAAGAUCUGAUAUUUCUCGCCGUAUUUAAAGAUGUACAGUGGCAUAUAAUGUAUGUAUGCCAUAUUAUUUAACAGAUUGAGAAUGUUAUGAAAUACAUGGUAAUUAACUUCUUGCUUGACGUACUUUCUUGUCUAUUUACAUCUUCAUGGAUCUUCUUGAAAUGUUCUGAUCAUUCUCUAUAUUAAUCCAACCUUAAGGGCAUAAUGAUAUUUACUUGUAAACCUACUGACCUCUCCUAUCCGAUACAGCCCCUACUAAUACCUCCACUAGACAAUAUGAUGACUGUUUGUUCACACCUUUUAAUUCCACUUCUACUUGUCAAUGCAUUACAGAUCAUAAGCUCCUAACUGUAAUGGGAGGUGUAUGGUCUGUGUACGUGCCACAAGUGUCGCUUACCAAGUGUAUCUAUGUUGUGGGUCCAAUCUCCUCAUUGAGAGGCUUGAUGGUGACCGUGGAGAGGCAGCAUGUUGUUGUCACAAGUCUUAGUAAACAGCCCAUCUCUCUCUCUUUCAGCUGAACCAUCUGAUACGAACGCCUCUGAAUAAUGAAUGAGAUCGUUAAAGCCUUUAGUAGCUCCAACACGACUGUUAAAUAUUAUAUACUGUUUACCAUCUACGUAGGGCAGAGGUCGAUAGAAGAGAUAGAAAUCAGUGCCACAAAAUGUUUACCCGAUAAGCACUUGAAGUGAGGUUUUAAAAUGAGUUUGACUUUUAUUUAUUUAUCUUUGAUCUCCCAUGUGUUAAAUAAAAUUGAACAUUCAGUCUAGGUUUGAUUGUC